rnacentral:rRNA from 1 species
UACGAAGGGGGCUAGCGUUGCUCGGAAUCACUGGGCGUAAAGCGCACGUAGGCGGAUUGCUAAGUUAGGGGUGAAAGCCUGGAGCUCAACUUCAGAAUUGCCCUUAAGACUGCAUCGCUUGAAUCCAGGAGAGGUGAGUGGAAUUCCGAGUGUAGAGGUGAAAUUCGUAGAUAUUCGGAAGAACACCAGUGGCGAAGGCGGCUCACUGGACUGGUAUUGACGCUGAGGUGCGAAAGCGUGGGGAGCAAACAGG